AUCCACUAAUACCAUGGUUCCUAGGUUUAAUUUUGGUGGGCAAUAACAUGUAUUGCAUAGGCCCGUAGGGUUGUGAUCUGUUGUUCAGAGAACGCACAAGAAUAGCUUGUGUGAAAGAUGUUCCUAUGACAAGUCUGAAAGAAUUUAGUUAGUAGCUAUGGUUUGGUGUGACUCCAGACUGAGCCAAAGUACUCUGAUUUCAGGUCUCUAUUGCUCUGUACGACCAUUCAAUUGUGUACUAAAUAGUGUAUACCGAGCAACAUGUAUGCACAUCAAAGUAGGACAGAGCAGCAGGUUAUAGCUAAUUGACCUGGGAAUGAACCGACGCCCUAAAGCACUCUGUUGCUCUGCAGGAAAACUACUACCACCACUGUCAGCUACAAUUACUCAAGAGUCUAAUUAUUGAUACUGAAAAUGGAAAUUAUAUGACAAGAAAAAUGCAAAACCUAGAGUUGUCCUAACCUAACAGAUGCAUGCUCUGAACUAAUUCUUCUUGCCCCUCUGCUACUCCUUAUCAGUUUAUUUUUUCAGGCUAUGAACAAGAGCUAUCUGAUGUGCUGCUGAUUUGAAAGAAGCCUAAGGUUGAGGGUACACUUCUGAGUGGAUCAUGUUUUGGAGAAGAAAAAGCUUCAGAGCCAAGCAAAGAGCCAGGUUGCUUCUUGCUGUGUGCGUUUCUUGAGAGAGAAGAUAGCAGAAAUGAGCUUCUCCAUCAGAACAGGAAGAGCUGAGAAGGAAAUUUGCUUCCUGCUAUACAAGGUGUUCCCAAUAAUAUCCCUACAAGGCAGAUAUACUAUCUAUUAUUAUCUAUAAGAAUCAUUUCAAUGAAUAAAACAAGGAAGUGAGGAAGAAAUAAACUGCUGGCAAUAACUACAAUGCAAAGAACUUGGACAUUGACUAAAAAGAGUUUGCUUUACUUGCAAAACCGAGCUUAUAGGAGCUUUGAUGGACUUGUCUUGCUGGCCAGGCAACAGCAACAGCAUCGCUGUUUUUUGGAGUCCAUCUUGAUAGUUGUUGCUGAAUUGUCUUUGAUGUCUAACUCGAUAUCCCUAUAUAUCAAGCAAUUUUGUGUAAACAAGUAGUUUGGUUAGUAGUCUGUUCUCUCUCCCAGAUGGACAUAUGUGCCAUUUUACAGCAAGUUGGGUUUCUGACGGAUGAAAUUCGGGUUUUCAUGACCUGGUUUGCACCUAAUAUUUUCCCGUCAAAGAAUGGGAUGCAAUUGUGCAUUUCCAAUACUGUUCUUGCAGUGUACUUUGAGAAUUCGAGAUUAUAUUAAAUCAAAAUAAUUUAUGAAAGCUUGAACAAUUGUAUUAUAUAUGCUUUUGUUGGAGAAUAAUCAAAGUCUGCCAUGUUGCUGUUUU